rnacentral:rRNA from 1 species
UACAGAGGGUGCAAGCGUUGUUCGGAAUUAUUGGGCGUAAAGCGCGUGUAGGCGGCUUCGUAAGUCCGUUGUGAAAGUCCAGGGCUCAACCCUGGAAUGCCGAUGGAUACUGCGGAGCUAGAGUCCGGAAGAGGCGAGUGGAAUUCCUGGUGUAGCGGUGAAAUGCGCAGAUAUCAGGAAGAACACCCGUGGCGAAGGCGGCUCCCUGGGACGGUACUGACGCUGAGACGCGAAAGCGUGGGGAGCGAACAGG